rnacentral:rRNA from 1 species
GAUGAACGCUAGCUACAGGCUUAACACAUGCAAGUCGAGGGACCGGCGCACGUGUGAGUAACACGUAUCCAACCUACCCUUUAAUCGGGGCUAGCCUUUCGAACGAAAGAUUAAUACCCGAUAUAAAGGAUGGGUAUGCGUUCAAGUAUGUUGUUGGUGAGGUAACGGCUCACCAAACCUUCGAUUGAUAGUGGUUCUGAGAGGAAGGGCCCUCACGUUGGAACUGAGAUACGGUCCAAACUGCUACGGGAGGCAGAAGUGAGGAAGAGUGGUAAAUGGGCGGUAUGCGGAACCAGCCAAGUAGCGUGAAGGAUGAAGGGAUAUGGUUCGUAAACUUCUGUUAUAUAAGAAGAGGUAAUAUAUGAAUAAGGAUCGGCUAACUCCGUGCCAGCAGCCGCGGUAAUUC